GCCAGACUCCUACGGGAGGCAGCAGUGGGGGAUAUUGCACAAUGGGGGGAACCCUGAUGCAGCGACGCCGCGUGGGUGAAGGAGCGUUUCGGCGCGUAAAGCCCUAUCGGCAGGGAAGAAGGAGGACGGUACCUGACUAAGAAGCCCCGGCUAACUACGUGCCAGCAGCCGCGGUAAUACGUAGGGGGCAAGCGUUAUCCGGAUUUACUGGGUGUAAAGGGGGCGCAGACGGCAGCGCAAGCCAGGAGUGAAAGCCCGGGGCCCAACCCCGGGACUGCUCUUGGAACUGCGCGGCUGGAGUGCAGGAGGGGCAGGCGGAAUUCCUAGUGUAGCGGUGAAAUGCGUAGAUAUUAGGAGGAACACCAGUGGCGAAGGCGGCCUGCUGGACGAUGACUGACGCUGAGGCUCGAAAGCGUGGGGAGCAAACAGGAUUAGAUACCCUCGUAA
rnacentral:rRNA from 1 species